rnacentral:rRNA from 1 species
CCUACGGGAGACAGCAGUGAGGAAUAUUGGUCAAUGGCCGAGAGGCUGAACCAGCCAAGUCGCGUGAGGGAAGACGGCCCUACGGGUUGUAAACCUCUUUUGUCGGGGAGCAAAGCGAACCACGUGUGGUUCAUUGAGAGUACCCGAAGAAAAAGCAUCGGCUAACUCCGUGCCAGCAGCCGCGGUAAUACGGAGGAUGCGAGCGUUAUCCGGAUUUAUUGGGUUUAAAGGGUGCGCAGGCGGAGGUGCAAGUCAGCGGUCAAAUUGCGGGGCUCAACCCCGUACUGCCGUUGAAACUGCAUCCCUUGAGUGCGCGAGAAGUAUGCGGAAUGCGUGGUGUAGCGGUGAAAUGCAUAGAUAUCACGCAGAACUCCGAUUGCGAAGGCAGCAUACCGGCGCUCAACUGACGCUGAGGCACGAAAGCGUGGGGAUCGAACAGGAUUAGAUACCCGUGUAGUC